GACGCUGGCGGCAGGCUUAACACAUGCAAGUCGAGCGGUAACAGGGGAAGCUUGCUUCCCGCUGACGAGCGGCGGACGGGUGAGUAAUGCUUAGGAAUCUGCCCAGUAGUGGGGGAUAGCCCGGGGAAACCCGGAUUAAUACCGCAUACGUCCUACGGGAGAAAGCAGGGGGUCUUCGGACCUUGCGCUAUUGGAUGAGCCUAAGUCGGAUUAGCUAGUUGGUGGGGUAAAGGCCUACCAAGGCGACGAUCCGUAGCUGGUCUGAGAGGAUGAUCAGCCACAUCGGGACUGAGACACGGCCCGAACUCCUACGGGAGGCAGCAGUGGGGAAUAUUGGACAAUGGGGGCAACCCUGAUCCAGCCAUGCCGCGUGUGUGAAGAAGGCUUUCGGGUUGUAAAGCACUUUCAGUAGGGAGGAAAACCUUAUGGCUAAUACCCAUGAGGCUUGACGUUACCUACAGAAGAAGCACCGGCUAACUCCGUGCCAGCAGCCCGCGGUAAUAC
rnacentral:rRNA from 1 species